rnacentral:tRNA from 1 species
GCCGAGGUCUCCUAGUCUGGUAGGGAGCAGAAAAUAGCUUAAGCCUGGAGAGAUUCCCUGUUAGCCUGUGCCCAUUAUGGGCUCGGGGGUUCAAAUCCCCCCCUCGGCGCCA